GUGAACAAGUAUAUUGCUUAGUUCCAGGUAUUUGUGAAUUUUCUAGUUUUCUUUCUGUAUUGAUUACUCAUUUUAUUGUGGUUCAAAAAGAUAGUAUGUAUUACCUUAGUCUUUUUAAGCUUAUAGAUAAUUGUUUUAUGGAAGAACAUAUAGUCUAUCCUGAAGAAUGUCCCAUGUGUACUUGAGAAGACUGUAUUCUGCUGUUGUUGAGUGGAAUGUUCUGUAUAUGUCUCUGGGGUCUAGUUGGUUUUAUAGUAUUGUUCAAGCCUCCUACUUCCUUAUUGGUUUUCUUUCUACUUGUCUAUCAAUUGUGGAAAGUGAGGCAUUAAGGUCUCCAACUAUUAUUGUAGAACUGUAUAUUUCUCCCUUCAGUUUUCUAAAGGUUUGUUUUAUAUAUUUUCUGGCUGUCAUAUGGUGCAUAUAUGUUUAUAAUUGUUAUAUCUUUUUGAUAAAUUGAAACUUUUAACAAUAUAAAAUGUCCAUCUUUGCUCUUGUAACAUGUUUUUGCUUAACAUCUACUUUGUCUGUUAUUAGUAUAGCCAUCCCAGCUUUUUUGUUUAUAAUUUGCACAUAUUUACAUAACGUUUUAAUAGUAAGAUGCAGAUUAUGAUAUCUAAGCAAGUGAUGGUGGUUCAAGAAUAAAUUUUUGUCAUGUUAUUGUUUAUUCAUUUAGUGGAGUUAUUUUUUAAAUGUCAAGCAAGGUUUUGCUUAUAAGCUAAAAUAAUGGAUGCAGGAAAGCUAAUAUUCAGAGGAAAAUUUGCUGUUUUUAUACUUAUAUGUAUAUUUUUAAGGGUGAAUACUGCUUACUAUAGAAUUUAUUCCAUUGCGAUUAUGAAUUCCUUGCAUUUCUUUCUAGCUAAGAGCUGAUGCUUGCUGUACACUUGAGUUUAUUGUAUGUAUAUUGUCCUAGUUGCAUUAAUAGUCUACACAGUCAACUAUAGUUCUCAAAUAAUAGUCAUAUUAAUUGCUACCAGAUUAUUACAUAUAUGAAUAUAUAUUUUAUAUAUAGUAUAUAUAUGUAAUUGUGUAUAUAUACUUUAAUGAUACUAAAUGUAGAUAUCAAAUCAGCUUUUUAUACAUUAUAUCCAAUGGACUUAUCAUUUGACUUCUUAACCUCUGAAAAUAUAGAUCACAUAAACUCUUGAAAAUAUACUAUGGCUUUUAAAGUUCUUAGAAUAUAUCAGGUAAGUAUAUUCUACACAUUUUUCUCCAGAUACACCACCAUACAAAGAUGAGCAUUUUAUGGUGAUACCAUUGCAUAUAAGUAAAUUGAGUAUCAAUUUACUUUAAUUUUCUAAUACCAGUUUCUCUUCAAAUUUUUGAGAGAAAAGUUUAGGCUUAGACUGUCAAUGCAAGAUUGAUUUAGAAAUACAUGAAUUUGAUUUUUUUCCUUUUGGGAAAAUUAUUUUGAAGCCUGUAGUGCUUUACUUAUAGAGAGUUUUAUAUUUUAAAAACAUCUGCUAUAAUAUUUUACCAAAAAUGAUUUAUUAUGGAAAUAACUUAUAUGUACCUUUUGAUAAUUAUAAGGACAUUAAAGUCACAAAAUGAUCUGUGAAUAUUCCUACCUUGUCUUUUUUUUCCCCCAAUAGUUGUUGCUCAUUGUUUUGGUUCUCCAUCUUCCUUCCAAUUCUCUAAUAAUCCUUUAGGAUCAGUACCUAAUCCCAGCAAACAAAAAUAUUCAACAAGUCUCUACAAAUUAUGAUGAAGAAAAGAUGAAUUUUAAUCAAAAAGAGGUGACUAAAAUGUAAAGAGAUGAGUGGGAGGACUUGCCACAGAAGCAACAAAGACCAAAAAGGUAAUCGAUUUGUCUGCCUUCCCUGCAUUUGCCAUUGAUAUCAUGCUAUCAUUUAUCUACGAAGAAAAAGAAAUAUUAGGUAAUUUCAAAACUUUAUGGUCAUGUAUACAAUUUCAUGUCUCUUAUAUGAGGAUAGGCCAUGAAGUUUAAAUCUGCAGUUAGGAAACAGAAGAUUCAACAUUUCUUGUUUAUUAAGUAAAUUUCUAGGUUUUAUGGGGAAAGGAGAAAUGUCACAAAGCUACUCAACUUCCCCUGGUUGAAAAGAUCACAUAAAGUAAUUAUAAAAAUGCAUGGAAUAAUACAAAAUUAUAUACAAA